rnacentral:rRNA from 1 species
AGCAGCCGCGGUAAUUCCAGCUCCAAUAGCGUAUAUUAAAGUUGUUGCAGUUAAAAAGCUCGUAGUUGAAUUUCGGGAUCAAAUUGUUGGUCGUGCCUCGGUACGCACUGGUAUUAUUGGUUCCUACCUUCUGAAGAACCGCGAUGUCAUUAAUUUGGUGUCGUGGGGAAUCAGGACUGUUACUUUGAAAAAAUUAGAGUGUUUAAAGCAGGCUUACGCUUGAAUACAUUAGCAUGGAAUAAUGAAAUAGGACGUUUGAUUCUAUUUUGUUGGUUUCUAGGAUUGACGUAAUGAUUAAUAGGGAUAGUUGGGAGCAUUAGUAUUCAAUUGUCAGAGGUGAAAUUCUUGGAUUUAUUGAAGACUAACUACUGCGAAAGCAUUUGCCAAGGAUGUUUUCAUUAAUCAAGAACGAAAGUUAGGGGAUCGAAGACGAUCAGAUACCGUCGUAGUCUUAACCAUAAACUAUGCCG